rnacentral:rRNA from 1 species
GAGGGUUUGAUCCUGGCUCAGGAUGAACGCUGGCGGCGUGCUUAACACAUGCAAGUCGAACGAAGCUGCUAAAAGGAAGUCUUCGGAUGGAAUUUUAGUAGACUUAGUGGCGGACGGGUGAGUAACGCGUGGAUAACCUGCCUUAUACAGGGGGAUAACGGAGAGAAAUUUCCGCUAAGACCGCAUAAGACCACAGCACCGCAUGGUGCAGGGGUAAAAUAUUUAUAGGUAUAAGAUGGAUCCGCGUCCGAUUAGCUAGUUGGUGAGGUAGAGGCUCACCAAGGCGACGAUCGGUAGCCGGCCUGAGAGGGUGAACGGCCACAUUGGGACUGAGACACGGCCCAAACUCCUACGGGAGGCAGCAGUGGGGAAUAUUGGACAAUGGGGGAAACCCUGAUCCAGCGACGCCGCGUGAGUGAAGAAGUAUUUCGGUAUGUAAAGCUCUAUCAGCAGGGAAGAAAAUGACGGUACCUGACUAAGAAGCCCCGGCUAACUACGUGCCAGCAGCCGCGGUAAUACGUAGGGGGCAAGCGUUAUCCGGAUUUACUGGGUGUAAAGGGAGCGCAGACGGCGAAGCAAGUCUGAAGUGAAAUGCAUGGGCUCAACCCAUGAAUUGCUUUGGAA